ensembl:snoRNA small nucleolar RNA SNORD61
AAGCUGUGAUGAAUUUUAUUGCAUUGAUCUUCUGAAAUGAUAAUGUAUUUUGUCCUCUAAGAAGUUCUGAGCUU